UAAAUAUCGUAAUCUGCUCAUAUCUACCCGAUGAUAGGCGCUAAAUCAGUUGUGGUUCCACAGAUCGUUAACAAUUGCUUGGAUAACUGUGGUAAUUGUAGAACUAAUACAUGCAAAUAAGGUUAAAACCAAGCGAUCCAUUGGAUUGUUAUAAUUGUGGAAUUUUAGAUAACAUAUUCUAGAUCGUAUGGUCCUGUACCGACGACAGAUCUUUCAAAUCUCUGUCCUAUAACUUUUGAUGGUAGUAUUUAGGACUACCAUAGUUGCUCGGGUAACAGAAAAUCCGGGUUCGAUACCGAAGAGGGAACCUGAGAAACGGCUACCACAUCUUAGAAAGGCAGCAGGCGCGCAAAUCACCUGCUCCCAUUUCAGGACGAUAGAGACAA
rnacentral:rRNA from 12 species